CCCUCUGUGGUUCAAUGGUUAGAAUAUGCGACUGGCUCAUUCGCAAGAUCCAGGUUCAACUCCUGGUGGAGGGU
rfam:Naegleria gruberi genomic scaffold NAEGRscaffold_53, whole genome shotgun sequence.